GGAGGGCAAGUCUGGUGCCAGCAGCCGCGGUAAUUCCAGCUCCAAUAGCGUAUAUUAAAGUUGCUGCAGUUAAAAAGCUCGUAGUUGGAUUUCUGGCGUUUCAUUUCAGGCCGGCCACGGUUUCGUGUGUUAGUGCUUGAGAUCUUCACCAUCCUUCCAAUGGCUAUUCAUCCUUCUUCAUUGAAGGUGCGAGUGGUAUUGGAUCUUUUACUUUGAAAAAAUUAGAGUGUUUAAAGCAGGC
rnacentral:rRNA from 1 species